AUAACCCAGGCCGGGUGCCCAGAGCUGAAGAGGAAGAGGCGGUGGCGGCAGGACAGUGCCUGAGAAGUCUGUGGCUGAGCUGGGAGCAGGCUCCCCACCCCCUACGUGGGGGACGAGAGCAGGCAGGUGCAGUGGCCAUGGCUACUGCAGGAACCCCUUGGAUGUGGACGCUGGGGACCCUGAUCACAGCCCUGAUUCUGGGGGUGACAGAGCCUGUGCUUGCAAACGACGUUGCUUCCUGCAACAGCCCCGCGGCCCCCAGCGGCACCUCCACGAGCACCCAGGCCCUUGGGACGGGGGCCACAGAGGACAUCCGGGGAAACGACGG